UCAAGAAGAAGGACUUAUCCCUACCAUCAACACCCAAAGCUGAAAUUCUAAUUAAACUACUUCUUG
rnacentral:tRNA from 1 species